UACGUAGGGGGCAAGCGUUGUCCGGAAUCAUUGGGCGUAAAGAGCGCGUAGGCGGUCCGGUAAGUCCGCUCUGAAAGUCCGGGGCUCAACCCCGGGAGGCGGGCGGAUACUGCCGGGCUAGAGUCCGGAAGAGGCGAGUGGAAUUCCUGGUGUAGCGGUGGAAUGCGCAGAUAUCAGGAAGAACACCAACGGCGAAGGCAGCUCGCUGGGACGGUACUGACGCUGAGACGCGAAAGCGUGGGGAGCGAACAGG
rnacentral:rRNA from 1 species